UGCCAUCCAACCACCUCAUCCUCUGUCCUCCCCUUCUCCUGUUGCCUUCAAUCUUUCCUAGCAUCAGGGCCUUUUCCAGAAGUGCUGGUGUGAAGGGAAGCAGGACCCAGUGGAUGCCGAGGAAUGAAAACCUCUGGGAGGAGUCACUAGUGAUGCUUGAGGAAGAACAGGAAGAAGAGGAAGAAAUGAUUCACAAGGAAGUGACAACUGAGGAGUCCUGGUUUUCUGCCUCGGUCCUAUAACUCUGCUUACUCAUCACGUCUGCUGUCAUCUUCCGCCUCCUCCUCCUCCACGCCUGCUAAUCUCCUCUCCUUACCGUUGGGAAGACUAUCCAUGCAGUUCUGGUUUUCAGCCAUUUCUAAUUCUUUGCAAAAGAUAAGUUACAUUGAAUAUAUUACAUCUGACAUGCAAAAUGAAGAGAUAUU
ensembl:lncRNA